rnacentral:rRNA from 1 species
GACGAACGCUGGCGGCGUGCUUAACACAUGCAAGUCGAGCGAUGAAAGCCUUAUGAACUAUUCGUAGUGAUUGAGGCCGGAUUAGCGGCGGACGGGUGAGUAACGCGUGAGCAACCUGCCUUAAACAACGGGAUAGCCUCGGGAAACCGGGCUUAAUACCGUAUGAGACCACGCCUUCACAUGAAUAAGAGGUUAAAGAUUUAUCGGUUUAAGAUGGGCUCGCGUCUGAUUAGCUAGUUGGUGAGAUAAAAGCCCACCAAGGCAACGAUCAGUAACCGGCUUGAGAGAGUGAACGGUCAAAUUGGAACUGAGACACGGUCCAAACUCCUACGGGAGGCAGCAGUGGGGAAUAUUGCACAAUGGGGGAAACCCUGAUGCAGCGACGCCGCGAGCGAUGAAGGAAUUCGUUUCGUAAAGCUCUGUCCAAGGGGAAGAUAAUGACAGUACCCUUGGAGGAAGCCCCGGCUAAAUACGUGCCAGCCGCCGCGGUAA